rnacentral:rRNA from 1 species
UGAGGAAUUUUCCGCAAUGGGCGAAAGCCUGACGGAGCGACGCCGCGUGUGUGAUGAAGUCUUUCGGGAUGUAAAACACUGUCAGCAGGGAAGAUAUUGACGGUACCUGCAGAGGAAGGCCCGGCUAACUACGUGCCAGCAGCCGCGGUAAUACGUAGGGGCCAAGCGUUGUCCGGAAUUACUGGGCGUAAAGAGCACGUAGGUGGCUUAAUAAGUCAGAUGUAAAAUUUCCCAGCUCAACUGGGAAUCUGCGUUUGAAACUGUUUUGCUAGAGAAUGGUAGAGAGAAGCGGAACUUCCAGUGUAGCGGUGAAAUGCGUAGAUAUUGGAAGGAACACCAGUGGCGAAGGCGGCUUCUUGGACCAUUUCUGACACUAAGGUGCGAAAGCUAGGGGAGCAAACGGG